rnacentral:lncRNA from 1 species
AUCCGCCUGCAUUCAUGCAUUCUCAGCUAAAUGUUAUCAUGCAUUAUUUUAUUGAAUUGCCAUAUUAUGAUGCACUAUUUGUUGAUAGUAAAAAUUGUUUGAUUACUUGUGCUAUGAACAUACUGUGGCUUGUUUGUGUGAAAUUGGGAUGAAGUGAACCACCAUGGGUUUGUGAGGACGGUCUGUGAUAUGGAUCCUGAAUAUGAUAUGAUAUGAAAUUUGACCGUCGGCCGGGAAAAUGGGAGAUCGGCGCCCCCGUGUGCACCUGAUGAUAUGGAUUGUAUGGAAAACCACAGGAUGGCUUCUUGUUGUUNNN